CGGGGUUAAAACCUCAGCUCCCGUCUUCAGUAACGUCCCGCAACUCAGGACGAAAGGCGGAGCCAGUAAAUAGGGGAGGCGCUGCAAACUACUCUAUAAACCACGCGCGCACACGCAUCACUGCAGAGCCUGCGACUAUCACAGUAGGGGCCGGACCUGUUGAGGUACCUAGCACUGUGUGCUGAAUGCUUUAUAUUCAUGGCUUACUUCACCCAGUGUCCUGAGAGCACUAGAAUAAGUGACUCAGUAAACAUAAGGAUCCAAAGCAAGUAAUCAGAUGGUCUAACUACAUCCCUACCAGAGAAGAAAACAAGAAUACUGAGUAAUGGAGCUGAGACAGUAACCAUGAGCUAAGUUCUUGCUAGUGAAAUGAACACAAGUGAUAUGUGCACUUCAAGGCCAAGACUUCAGAUCUUCACAUGGACACACAUCCUCCUCCCCUCGCACAGGCUGGAGCAUGGGUCCCCAGGUGCAGAAAGUAAGGGUUAAGAAGUCAGCAAGAAGUCAUACUUGGUUUAUCCUGGUGGAACCCAGCAGGGCUGUUGGCUACGUGACAGUACCUUGCUGAGCUUUGGGAUCCGGACAUGGACGCCAGCCCGUAAUCCUGUGCCCAGGUUUGAAGGGCAGGUCAGGAUGUAGCCCAGUCGCUCGUUCCACAUGAACUCCCAGCCUCGCUCUUGGAUUAGGCGUUCUACCUGUAACAGGGAACAAAUGGAGUUCUUGAAUACCUACCUACUCAGGACAUCCCAAACGCCAAGAGGAGACUUGGGUACUGUAUGUUUGCUGUGCGUGAAAUUUAGGUAAAUUUGUAUUACUUCCUUAAUAGAAGAGGAUACUACUGCCAGAAUAUUAAAAUGAUCCAAUCCAAUUAAAUUAGCUGAACCAUGUAAAGUACUGAAUGCAGUACCUAGCGCAUCCUAAAUAUUCAAUAAAUGUCAGUUGCUGUUAUUUUU